rnacentral:rRNA from 1 species
GACGAAGGGGGCAAGCGUUGUUCGGAAUUACUGGGCGUAAAGGGCGCGUAAGCGGUUCUUUAAGUCAGGCGUGAAAGCCCUGGGCUCAACCUGGGAGUGGCGCUUGAUACUGGAGGACUAGAGAGUGGGAGAGGUUGGUGGAAUUCCCAGUGUAGAGGUGAAAUUCGUAGAUAUUGGGAAGAACACGGUGGCGAAGGCGGCCAACUGGACAUUCUGACGCUGAGGCGCGAAAGCGUGGGGAGCAAACAGGAUUGAGA